rnacentral:rRNA from 1 species
GACGAACGCUGGCGGCGUGCUUAACACAUGCAAGUCGAACGGAAAGGCCCUGCUUUUGUGGGGUGCUCGAGUGGCGAACGGGUGAGUAACACGUGAGUAACCUGCCCUUGACUUUGGGAUAACUUCAGGAAACUGGGGCUAAUACCGGAUAGGAGCUCCUGCUGCAUGGUGGGGGUUGGAAAGUUUCGGCGGUUGGGGAUGGACUCGCGGCUUAUCAGCUUGUUGGUGGGGUAGUGGCUUACCAAGGCUUUGACGGGUAGCCGGCCUGAGAGGGCGACCGGCCACAUUGGGACUGAGAUACGGCCCAGACUCCUACGGGAGGCAGCAGUGGGGAAUAUUGCACAAUGGGCGGAAGCCUGAUGCAGCAACGCCGCGUGCGGGAUGACGGCCUUCGGGUUGUAAACCGCUUUCGCCUGUGACGAAGCGUGAGUGACGGUAAUGGGUAAAGAAGCACCGGCUAACUACGUGCCAGCAGCCGCGGUGAUACGUAGGGUGCGAGCGUUGUCCGGAUUUAUUGGGCGUAAAGGGCUCGUAGGUGGUUGAUCGCGUCGGAAGUGUAAUCUUGGGGCUUAACCCUGAGCGUGCUUUCGAUACGGGUUGACUUGAGGAAGGUAGGGGAGAAUGGAAUUCCUGGUGGAGCGGUGGAAUGCGCAGAUAUCAGGAGGAACACCAGUGGCGAAGGCGGUUCUCUGGGCCUUUCCUGACGCUGAGGAGCGAAAGCGUGGGGAGCGAACAGGCUUAGAUACCCUGGUAGUCCACGCUGUAAACGGUGGGUACUAGGUGUGGGGUCCAUUCCACGGGUUCCGUGCCGUAGCUAACGCUUUAAGUACCCCGCCUGGGGAGUACGGCCGCAAGGCUAAAACUCAAAGGAAUUGACGGGGCCCCGCACAAGCGGCGGAGCAUGCGGAUUAAUUCGAUGCAACGCGUAGAACCUUACCUGGGUUUGACAUGGAUCGGGAGCGCUCAGAGAUGGGUGUGCCUCUUUUGGGGUCGGUUCACAGGUGGUGCAUGGCUGUCGUCAGCUCGUGUCGUGAGAUGUUGGGUUAAGUCCCGCAACGAGCGCAACCCUUGUUCACUGUUGCCAGCACGUUAUGGUGGGGACUCAGUGGAGACCGCCGGGGUCAACUCGGAGGAAGGUGGGGAUGACGUCAAGUCAUCAUGCCCCUUAUGUCCAGGGCUUCACGCAUGCUACAAUGGCUGGUACAGAGAGUGGCGAGCCUGUGAGGGUGAGCGAAUCUCGGAAAGCCGGUCUCAGUUCGGAUUGGGGUCUGCAACUCGACCUCAUGAAGUCGGAGUCGCUAGUAAUCGCAGGUCAGCAACGCUGCGGUGAAUACGUUCCCGGGGCU